ensembl:snRNA U12 U12 minor spliceosomal RNA
AUGCCUUAAACUUAUGAGUAAGGAAAAAAAAAAAGACUCAGCAUGAUGCCUGAAUCCUCACUGUUAAUGUGAGACAAAGUUUUGAGCUGGUAAAGGUUUCUGCUGAGGUGACCCACCUAAUUUGUGGGAUGCCUGAGAGUCACAAUCUGCUGU